rnacentral:rRNA from 1 species
AGACACGGCCCAGACUCCUACGGGAGGCAGCAGUGGGGAAUAUUGCACAAUGGGCGAAAGCCUGAUGCAGCAACGCCGCGUGAGGGAUGACGGCCUUCGGGUUGUAAACCUCUUUUAGCAGGGAAGAAGCGAAAGUGACGGUACCUGCAGAAAAAGCGCCGGCUAACUACGUGCCAGCAGCCGCGGUAAUACGUAGGGCGCAAGCGUUAUCCGGAAUUAUUGGGCGUAAAGAGCUCGUAGGCGGUUUGUCGCGUCUGCUGUGAAAUCCCGAGGCUCAACCUCGGGCCUGCAGUGGGUACGGGCAGACUAGAGUGCGGUAGGGGAGAUUGGAAUUCCUGGUGUAGCGGUGGAAUGCGCAGAUAUCAGGAGGAACACCGAUGGCGAAGGCAGAUCUCUGGGCCGUAACUGACGCUGAGGAGCGAAAGGGUGGGGAGCAAACAGGCUUAGAUACCCUGGUAGUCCACCCCGUAAACGUUGGGAACUAGUUGUGGGGUCCAUUCCACGGAUUCCGUGACGCAGCUAACGCAUUAAGUUCCCCGCCUGGGGAGUACGGCCGCAAGGCUAAAACUCAAAGGAAUUGACGGGGACCCGCACAAGCGGCGGAGCAUGCGGAUUAAUUCGAUGCAACGCGAAGAACCUUACCAAGGCUUGACAUAUACGAGAACGGGCCAGAAAUGGUCAACUCUUUGGACACUCGUAAACAGGUGGUGCAUGGUUGUCGUCAGCUCGUGUCGUGAGAUGUUGGGUUAAGUCCCGCAACGAGCGCAACCCUCGUUCUAUGUUGCCAGCACGUAAUGGUGGGAACUCAUGGGAUACUGCCGGGGUCAACUCGGAGGAAGGUGGGGAUGACGUCAAAUCAUCAUGCCCCUUAUGUCUUGGGCUUCACGCAUGCUACAAUGGCCGGUACAAAGGGCUGCAAUACCGUGAGGUGGAGCGAAUCCCAAAAAGCCGGUCCCAGUUCGGAUUGAGGUCUGCAACUCGACCUCAUGAAGUCGGAGUCGCUAGUAAUCGCAGAUCAGCAACGCUGCGGUGAAUACGUUCCCGGGUCUUGUACACACCGCCCGUCAAGUCAUGAAAGUCGGUAACACCUGAAGCCGGUGGCCUAACCCUUGUGGAGGGAGCCGUCGAAG